rnacentral:rRNA from 1 species
UACGUAGGUGGCAAGCGUUGUCCGGAAUUAUUGGGCGUAAAGCGCGCGCAGGUGGUUCCUUAAGUCUGAUGUGAAAGCCCACGGCUCAACCGUGGAGGGUCAUUGGAAACUGGGAAACUUGAGUGCAGAAGAGGAAAGUGGAAUUCCAAGUGUAGCGGUGAAAUGCGUAGAGAUUUGGAGGAACACCAGUGGCGAAGGCGACUUUCUGGUCUGUAACUGACACUGAGGCGCGAAAGCGUGGGGAGCAAACAGG